AACGCUAGCUACAGGCUUAACACAUGCAAGUCGAGGGGCAGCAUGGUCUUAGCUUGCUAAGGCCGAUGGCGACCGGCGCACGGGUGAGUAACGCGUAUCCAACCUACCUUACACUCUUGGAUAGCCUUCUGAAAGGGAGAUUAAUACAAGAUGUUAUCAUGAGUAAGCAUUUUCGCAUGAUUAAAGGUAUUCCGGUAGACGAUGGGGAUGCGUUCCAUUAGAUAGUAGGCGGGGUAACGGCCCACCUAGUCUUCGAUGGAUAGGGGUUCUGAGAGGAAGGUCCCCCACAUUGGAACUGAGACACGGUCCAAACUCCUACGGGAGGCAGCAGUGAGGAAUAUUGGUCAAUGGGCGAGAGCCUGAACCAGCCAAGUAGCGUGAAGGAUGACUGCCCUAUGGGUUGUAAACUUCUUUUAUAAAGGAAUUAAGUCGGGUAUGCAUACCCGUUUGCAUGUACUUUAUGAAUAAGGAUCGGCUAACUCCGUGCCAGCAGCCGCGGUAAUACGGAGGAUCCGAGCGUUAUCCGGAUUUAUUGGGUUUAAAGGGAGCGUAGAUGGAUGUUUAAGUCAGUUGUGAAAGUUUGCGGCUCAACCGUAAAAUUGCAGUUGAUACUGGAUAUCUUGAGUGCAGUUGAGGCAGGCGGAAUUCGUGGUGUAGCGGUGAAAUGCUUAGAUAUCACGAAGAACUCCGAUUG
rnacentral:rRNA from 1 species